CUCAAACAAGGCUCGUUUUCUUGGUUCGACCCGAAUUUUAUGUCUUCUCCCCAAAUCUCCACCUCGGCCCAAAAGUCAGAAAAUCCGUAAAUCGGAUGUCUGCAGUUCUAAUUUUCACGCUCUCUCAAUUCGGCUGUUGGGCAAUCUUUGCUUUUUUACUUCCAAUCAGGACUAGGGUUUUGACGCUUUCAAUUUGGGGUUCUUUGAUAUGUAAGUGAUUUUGUUAUAAUUACGUUUGUUAGAUUUACCUAAAGUACCAUUGCUUGAAAAUUCUCGCUGAUUAGUCGGUAAUGUAGAUAUUAUACUUUUUCUCAGUUAACUUGUAUGCUGCUGAAAUCAAAAUAAUAUUAUGUUGACUGUCUUGCGGUAUUCUUGAAUAUGUUAGAUACGAGGUGUAAACUACCAAACAAAGAAUGUAAUGAGGAUUGAUAACGAGGUUACUUCUAUGCUUGUGAUGACAUUAUGGUACAAGGGUGGUUUGUGAGUUUCAUUUGUCUCUAUGGGUAAGAAUAAAACCUUGGAGGUAUAAGUACUAGAAAAACCAAGUAAUCCUUGGGGACACCGACCAGCCUGUGACUAAAUACGAUAGAAAAAAACUUUAACAACCAAUUUGAAAUUACAAACUCUGACGACGAUUGUUGAAUUUACUCAAUCAUAUGAGGCAACGUUACCCAAUGAUACGUUAAGGAAAAAAAGAUUAGGUGGUUGAGGACUCGUGUCUCACAUCAAUUUAAAGAGAUUAACGUUUAUAAAAGUGACAUUAUCUCUAUAGUGCAAGUGAAAAAUGGAUCCAUAUACUAGAGCUCAUGUACAUCACAAAGGCUUCUAUAUUUUCAUUUGGAACUUAGAGGUGAAGUUUGAAAAGUUUAAGAUCAGUAUAAGAGAAUAACCAAUGUUCCAAGGACUAAAAAUACAUUUAUCAGAGUAUAUGCAUUUAAUUUUGAAAAAGAUUACUUAAGGACAAAUGCUAAAAAUAGGUUAUAAGUUACUGAAAAUCAAGUUUUGAGUUUUAUAUGCAAAUUUUAUGAAGUUUCUAGAAUGCAAUUUUGAAGUAUGCAGGUUCCAUGGUUUUUAAUGCCAAACGAUAAUUGUAAAGCUGUUGCUUAAUACUGAAUUUAUUUGGUCCAAUUGGAAGUUGUGUCUGAGGAGUAAUUUGGGCACCUUAUUGAGCAGUUUGAAAAGUUAAGAGCUUAAAUAAUGACUUUAGUCCAUUGAGUUCAGUGAGAAUGUUGAAAAAUAUGCAACUAGCCGAGGAAAUGACUUUUCGUAGUUAGGCAUAAGUCCAAUUCGAAAGCUGGUUAGAUGAAACAAAACAAAGACAAUUAUACAUAGGCAUAGGCGCAAGUCCCAUUAUUUGGUGCAAAUAUUUUUAGAGGCAAAGCUUGUUUAAAAGCCUUGAACCAAUGCAAAUCUUAGUAUGAUGCAGUGGAACACUGCUUAAUUGUCAGCUAUCUCAUGAGCCUUUAUGAAUAAAGAAAACAAAGUACGUGACAAUGCAUCUUCAAUUGAAUUCACUGCUCAUUACUUGGCUAAUGUAGUUAUUAGUUGGUAACGUGAAUUAUACCCCUUUACAGCUCUGCUUAAACCAAGGAUGUAUCUAUUCUCGGAGACUUCUUUCUACUUAGGAAAAUGAAAAGAAACAAGAAUGAUGAAAUCCAUAUUAUAUUAGAAUCAAGUAAUUAAUAACUACAGAUGGGAGCAUUUGAGAAUACAAAUUCAUCUCUUCAUUUUCAGGCCAGAAACCUGUUGUGCAGAUAUAAGAAAUGGCCAUGUUUUCAACAUUAAAAAACACCAAUAUAUUAUACAAAUGAUAUUAUUUUCAAGGUGGUCUUUAAAUGACCUUUCAUUCCUCUCUCAAUUGUUUCUUUUCAAUUUAAGUAUUGGAAAACUAAAUAUAUUUUUCAAUUUAAUUAUUGGAAAAUUAAAAAUAUUGGGGAAAUUUUCCAAAACAUAUUUUAUGUGACCAAUAUAAACAGACAAACUAAAAAUAUUGUUCUUUUUUUUUUCUUCUUUAUGUAGGAAGAGCAGGAUUGAAAAAUGCAUAAACAAUCAUGACAAUUAGAGUAUAAGCAUCGAAAAUCUGAACUAUAUUGGUCUACUUUGCUUUCAGCUUUGAAAGAUAUUGAGUCGUAGAAAUUUCUAAGGUAUUUACAUCUCUCUCUGAGUCAGGGUCAUGUGAUUGUGAGUCUCUGUGAAAGAGUGCUUAUUUACAUGGGUGAUGCACCUGUCAUGGGUUUUUUACUGCUCAAUUCUUGUAGCCAACCACAUAAAUGGUUGCCUAGAAGAGACAAAAGAUGUGUGCCAUUAGAGAAAGAUUAGAGAAGGGUUCCAAUAAGCCUCAGAGUAUUUUAUGUCGAUUAUGGAUUUAGAUUCGUUUAGAUGCUGAUGGAAUUGGUGUCUAAUUUUUAUCUGUUGCAUCAUUUGGUUCGUCUUAUGAUGCAGUCGUUGUAUCAGUAGUGCUAAAAGUUAAUUAGAAUUAGGACAAAUGUUCUAGAUUGUUAUUCCAUAAAUUCACUACCCGUGAAACUUGGUUUUUCAGACUGCAAAGGUCCAGAUUAACAGCAUGAAAACGGACUCCAGUUAAAUAGGAAAGUCCACCGUCUGAACUGAGAUUGUUUGCAAUUGAAUCAUUUAGUUUUGUGGACUCCUGUG
rnacentral:lncRNA from 1 species